GUUCAUCUCGGUCGUUCUCCUUCCUCCACAGUAGUGCAUCUCUGCUGCUCGUCCCUUGGUUGCUGGUUUUUUUAUCUGCUGAUGGACCCUUGUCCCAUUAUUUCAUAUAUACAAGACAUUAAUUACUAUCUAACUGGACCACUGCAAGAUUGGAUAUCUAAACCAGAAGAUUUUGUGCAAGUCAGAGCAGAGGUCUUUACUCCCUUUGUUAGAUCAUCCGGAGAAAGCUGAACUUGAUUCGGUACUUGACUGCUCAGAUUCAACUGUCAAAACUAAACUCCAGCGCAUCAUGCUAAUCCAAACAGAUCUUUGGAUCUUGCUCCUGAACGUGCUUUUGCUGAUGUUGUUCUUUGCAAUUUGGUUUACCAUAUGGUGAUCAUAAACUUUUUCAGUUAAAUUGAGUUUAUUUGCC